rnacentral:rRNA from 1 species
UACGAAGGGGGCUAGCGUUGCUCGGAAUCACUGGGCGUAAAGGGUGCGUAGGCGGGUCUUUUAAGUCAGGGGUGAAAUCCUGGAGCUCAACUCCAGAACUGCCUUUGAUACUGAAGAUCUUGAGUUCGGGAGAGGUGAGUGGAACUGCGAGUGUAGAGGUGAAAUUCGUAGAUAUUCGCAAGAACACCAGUGGCGAAGGCGACUCACUGGCCCGAUACUGACGCUGAGGCACGAAAGCGUGGGGAGCAAACAGG